rnacentral:rRNA from 1 species
AAGCGACGUUCAACCGCAAAACAAGCAGAGGGGGCUUAGUGGUGGGGUGACUGCGUACCUUUUGUAUAAUGGGUCAGCGACUUAUAUUCUGUAGCAAGGUUAACCGAAUAGGGGAGCCGGAGGGAAACCGAGUCUUAAUUGGGCGUUAAGUUGCAGGGUAUAGACCCGAAACCCGGUGAUCUAGCCAUGGGCAGGUUGAAGGUUGGGUAACACUAACUGGAGGACCGAACCGACUAAUGUUGAAAAAUUAGCGGAUGACCUGUGGCUGGGGGUGAAAGGCCAAUCAAACCGGGAGAUAGCUGGUUCUCCCCGAAAGCUAUUUAGGUAGCGCCUCGUGAAUUCAUCUCCGGGGGUAGAGCACUGUUUCGGCUAGGGGGCCAUCCCGGCUUACCAACCCGAUGCAAACUGCGAAUACCGGAGAAUGUUAUCACGGGAGACACACGGCGGGUGCUAACGUCCGUCGUGAAGAGGGAAACAACCCAGACCGCCAGCUAAGGUCCCAAAGUCAUGGUUAAGUGGGAAACGAUGUGGGAAGGCCCAGACAGCCAGGAUGUUGGCUUAGAAGCAGCCAUCAUUUAAAGAAAGCGUAAUAGCUCACUGGUCGAGUCGGCCUGCGCGGAAGAUGUAACGGGGCUAAACCAUGCACCGAAGCUGCGGCAGCGAACGUAUCACCCAAGACAACUUUACGGAGUUGACGAUUGACGGAGCGAAGCGACGUCAAAGCGUUCAUUAAAGUCGAGUUGGCUUAGGGAUACGUUCGUUGGGUAGGGGAGCGUUCUGUAAGCCUGUGAAGGUGUGUCGUGAGGCAUGCUGGAGGUAUCAGAAGUGCGAAUGCUGACAUAAGUAACGAUAAAGCGGGUGAAAAGCCCGCUCGCCGGAAGACCAAGGGUUCCUGUCCAACGUUAAUCGGGGCAGGGUGAGUCGACCCCUAAGGCGAGGCCGAAAGGCGUAGUCGAUGGGAAACGGGUUAAUAUUCCCGUACUUGGUGUUACUGCGAAGGGGGGACGGAGAAGGCUAUGUUGGCCGGGCGACGGUUGUCCCGGUUUAAGCGUGUAGGUGUGUGUUCCAGGUAAAUCCGGUUCACUUUAACACUGAGGCGUGACGACGAGGCACUACGGUGCUGAAGCAACAAAUGCCCUGCUUCCAGGAAAA